rnacentral:rRNA from 1 species
CCUACGGGAGGCAGCAGUGAGGAAUAUUGGUCAAUGGGCGCGAGCCUGAACCAGCCAAGUAGCGUGAAGGAUGACUGCCCUACGGGUUGAAAAUUUUUUUUAUAAAGGAAUAACGUGUGGCAUGUGUGCCUUUUUGCAUGUACUUUAUGCAUAGGAAUCGCCGAACCCCGUGCCAGCAGCCGCGGUAAUACGGAGGUUCCGAUCGUUAUCCGGAUUUAUUGGGUUUAAAGGGAGCGUAGAGGGGUUGUUAAGUCAGUUGUGAAGGUUUGCGGCUCAACCGUAAAAUUGCAAUUGAUACUGGCAGGCUUGAGUACAGUUGAGGUAGGCGGAAUUCGUGGUGUAGCGGUGAAAUGCUUAGAUAUCACGAAGAACACCGGUUGCGAAGGCAGCUUACUAAACUGCAACUGACAUUGAUGCGCGAAAGUGUGGGUAGCAAACAGGAUUAGAUACCCGAGUAGUC